rnacentral:rRNA from 1 species
CAGUAGCCGCGGUAAUACAGAGGGUGCGAGCGUUAAUCGGAUUUACUGGGCGUAAAGCGUGCGUAGGCGGCUAAUUGAGUCGGAUGUGAAAUCCCCGAGCUUAACUUGGGAAUUGCAUUCGAUACUGGUUAGCUAGAGUGUGGGAGAGGAUGGUAGAAUUCCAGGUGUAGCGGUGAAAUGCGUAGAGAUCUGGAGGAAUACCGAUGGCGAAGGCAGCCAUCUGGCCUAACACUGACGCUGAGGUACGAAAGCAUGGGGAGCAAACAGGAUUAGAUACCCCCGUAGUCCCUGUCUCUUAUAA